rnacentral:rRNA from 1 species
UACGUAGGGUGCGAGCGUUGUCCGGAAUUAUUGGGCGUAAAGGGCUCGUAGGCGGUUUGUCGCGUCGGGAGUGAAAAUCCAGGGCUUAACUCUGGACUGGCUUUCGAUACGGGCAGACUAGAGGUAUGCAGGGGAGAACGGAAUUCCUGGUGUAGCGGUGAAAUGCGCAGAUAUCAGGAGGAACACCAGUGGCGAAGGCGGCCCGCUGGGCAGUGGCUGACGCUGAGGCGCGACAGCGUGGGGAGCAAACAGG